rnacentral:tRNA from 1 species
UCGGGCGGCUGGCGGGCGCCGUACGCGCCGGGUUGGAGACCCGGUGGGCCGCCGUCGUGCUCCCCGACGGCACCCGGU